rnacentral:rRNA from 1 species
CCUACGGAGGGCUGCAGUGGGGAAUAUUGGACAAUGGGCGAAAGCCUGAUCCAGCCAUGCCGCGUGUGUGAAGAAGGCCUUCGGGUUGUAAAGCACUUUCAGUGGGGAAGAAAGCCUUGGGGCUAAUACCCUCGAGGAAGGACAUCACCCACAGAAGAAGCACCGGCUAACUCCGUGCCAGCAGCCGCGGUAAUACGGAGGGUGCGAGCGUUAAUCGGAAUUACUGGGCGUAAAGCGCGCGUAGGCGGUCUGAUAAGCCGGUUGUGAAAGCCCCGGGCUCAACCUGGGAACGGCAUCCGGAACUGUCAGGCUAGAGUGCAGGAGAGGAAGGUAGAAUUCCCGGUGUAGCGGUGAAAUGCGUAGAGAUCGGGAGGAAUACCAGUGGCGAAGGCGGCCUUCUGGACUGACACUGACGCUGAGGUGCGAAAGCGUGGGUAGCAAACAGGAUUACAUACCCGGGUAGUC